GCUGGCGGCAUGCCUCAUACAUGCAAGUCGAACGAGGUCUUCGGACCUAGUGGCGCACGGGUGAGUAACAUGUGGGAAUCUGCCUGAAGGUUCGGAAUAACUGCGGGAAACUGUAGCUAAUACCGGAUGUGUCUGCAAAGAGAAAGAUUUAUCGCCUUCAGAUGAGCCCGCACUAGAUUAGCUAGUUGGUGAGGUAACUGCUCCACCAAGGCUACGAUCUAUAGCUGAUUUGAGAGGAUGAUCAGCCACACUGGGACUGAGACACGGCCCAGACUCCUACGGGAGGCAGCAGUAGGGAAUAUUGGACAAUGGGGGAAACCCUGAUCCAGCAAUGCCGCGUGAGUGAAGAAGGCCUUCGGGUUGUAAAACUCUUUCAUCAAUGAUGAUAAUGACAUUAGUUGAAGAAGAAGCUCCGGCUAACUUCGUGCCAGCAGCCGCGGUAAUACGAAGGGGGCUAGCGUUGUUCGGAAUCACUGGGCGUAAAGCGUAUGUAGGCGGAUCAAAAAGUUAGAUGUGAAAUCCCUGGGCUCAACCCAGGAACUGCAUUUAAAACUAGUGAUCUAGAAUUUGGUAGGGGUUAGUAGAAUUUCCAGUGUAGAGGUGAAAUUCGUAGAUAUUGGAAAGAAUACCAGUGGCGAAGGCGACUAACUGGGCCAUUUUUGACGCUGAGAUACGAAAGCGUGGGUAGCAAACAGGAUUAGAUACCCUGGUAGUCCACGCAGUAAACGAUGAGUGCUAGUCGCUGGGACAAUAGUUUCAGUGUCGAAGCUAACGCAUUAAGCACUCCGCCUGGGAAGUACGGU
rnacentral:rRNA from 1 species